CUGCAUUUGACAUUGAAAAAACUUGAAUAAAUACCAAAUAAUUAAGAUAUGCUGCUGAUUUAAUUUACAAAGGAAUGGUGCAUGUGAAGAGAAAUUGACAUAUGACAAUCACCUUCAGCACAAUCAAUUUUCAUCCUAAUUUAGAAGAUUAAUGGAAGUAAUUGCAGCAAUAACAUCUUUGCCACGUCCUCUACUAACUUCUGCACAUAGAGUCAAAAUUAAUCAGUUAUAUCCAUGAAAAGAAUGAAGGCAGAAUUACAUUAAAAAAUAAAUAAAAAUGAUGGUUAGAAGAAUGACCUGCCAAUGCAAUUAAAAUCUCUUUGAAUUUGUUUCCCACUUACCAAUUUAUUAGAAUUUCAGGUGCGUAAAAAACAAAUAAAUGAUUCCUCUAGCUUGAUGAGCCUGUAUAUGUGGGAAAACGAGGUUAAAAUUUUAUCAUAAAGCAAAUAAAUUCUCAAUUAUAAAAAAGAAAAAUAAUAGAAAAAAUUGGUACUCUGUAUAUUGAUCUUGAUUGUAAAGAAAUAAUGACAAAAUGAUACUUACGAACUCAAAAGUAAUACAUUGCUCAUUUUGGAAGAAACACAUCCAGCACUUCAAAAAUUAUCCUUCAUUGAUCUGUGUAAAAGAAUCAUAGAGUGAAGAUCUUCUCAUGUAAGUACAAUUUGCAUUGGAGAGAAAAUGGACCAACUUACCGAAGCUUCAUCAUCCAGUACAUAGCGGCCCUCCCUUUGAACUCUUUGGUUAUCAACUUUAAUAUUUAGGAUGUGAGAAAUGAAAGCCCAAUAUUAGAAACAAAUUGCAGCAUGGGUAACUUUGAGUAUUGCAUGUUGGAUGAUAAAAACAGAUAGAGCAAGUCAUUCAAAGAAGUACGCAAAACACCAUCAUUCAGCUUCGCAACUAUUGAGUUGUUUUCUAAACUGUGACAGAUAAGAAACUUGUCCCUGCGAGCUUUAGUUCCAGUCUGUCAAGGACACGACCUGCAUAGCUUAGUGAAUCUCCACCAUCUUCGGCUUCGCCACAAGUGAAGUUACGAAAAUACUGCUACCCGGAGGAUUUUCACACUAUUGAUUUGAAAUCUGUUUCAAGCCAGAGUCACCAUUCACUGAUUUUCUUUACAAGCAAUAACUAGGAGGAUUUUAUAUUACAAGUACAGUCCUUACAACUUACUGUAUAGCUUGUUUUUUGAAGACGGAAGAAAGGGAGUGCUUUCAUUGUGUUUUUAGUGCCCGAUCCCUGCACAAAGAAUCUGAGAGAGAAGUUUCUCUCACAAUUCUAAACGUGUUUUUGAGAAGUACCUUUGUAUGAAUCUUCUGGCAACAGUCUCAAAGUAGUCAUGCAAUGUGAGGAAAUUCUUCUGUGGAAAGCCAGUCAAGUAAUUGCUGCCAUGGCAUGUAGUUGCGGUUUCUUAAUGUGUGUUCUAAAAACUUCUGCACAUGGAAUCAAAUUAAUCUUAAAUUUUGUGAAAUUCAAAGGAAGGCAGAAUUAUAAAACAAUAAUAAUCAUAAAAAUCAGAUGGAAAGAACUUAGAAGCAUGACCUGCCAAGCAUCCAUGUGAUUCCUCAUACUUGAUGAGCCAUUGAUGGCAAAAUGAAAAUCCAGUUAAAAUUAUUCAAAAUGCAUAUCCCACUCACCAAGAACAUAUGCACCCAGAAUUCUCCUUUAAUUAAAUAAGGUUUCAACAUGGUGCAUGUAACAGCACGGCUCAAACUUCUGCACAUAGAGUCAAAAUUAAUCCAUUAUAUCCAUGAAAAGAAUGAAGGCAGAAUUACCUUAAAAUAUUAAAAAAAAAUGAUGGUUAGAAGAAUGACCUGCCAAUGUAUUAGAAUUUCAGGUGCGUAAAAAACAAAUAAAUGAUUCCUCUAGCAAUACACUGCUCAUUUUGGAAGAAACGUAUGCACCCAGAAUUCUGCACAUUGAGUCAAAAUUAAUCCAUUAUAUCCAUGAAAAGAAUGAAGGCCGAAUUACAUUAAAAUAUAAAUAAAAAUGAUGGUUAGAAGAAUGACCUGCCAAUGCAUUUAAAAUCUCUUUGAAUUUGUUUCUCACUUCCCAAUUUAUUAGAAUUUCAGGUGCGUAAAAAACAAAUAAAUGAUUCCUCUAGCUUGAUGAGCCUGUAUAUGUGGGAAAAAAAGGGUUAAAAUUUUAUUAUAAAGCAAAUAAAUUCUCAAUUAUAAAAAAGAAAAAUAAAAGAAAAAAA
rnacentral:lncRNA from 1 species